CCCCAUUACUGUGACGUUACCUACAGAAGAAGGACCGGGCUAACUUCGUGCCAGCAGCCGCGGUAAUACGAGGGGUCCAAGCGUUAAUCGGAAUUACUGGGCGUAAAGCGUACGCAGGCGGUUCAUUAAGCCAGAUGUGAAAUCCCCGGGCUCAACCUGGGAAUUGCAUUUGGAACUGGUGAACUAGAGUCUUGUAGAGGGGGGUAGAAUUUCAGGUGUAGCGGUGAAAUGCGUAGAGAUCUGAAGGAAUACCGGUGGCGAAGGCGGCCCCCUGGACAAAGACUGACGCUCAUGUACGAAAGCGUGGGGAGCAAACAGGAUUAGAUACUCUGGUAGUCCACGCCGUAAACGAUGUCUACUCGGAGUUUGGUGCCUUGAGCACUGGGCUCCCAAGCUAACGCAUUAAGUAGACCGCCUGGGGAGUACGGCCGCAAGGUUAAAACUCAAAUGAAUUGACGGGGGCCCGCACAAGCGGUGGAGCAUGUGGUUUAAUUCGAUGCAACGCGAAGAACCUUACCUACUCUUGACAUCCAGAGAACUUUUCAGAGAUGAAUUGGUGCCUUCGGGAACUCUGAGACAGAGAGU
rnacentral:rRNA from 1 species